CAGUAGCCGCGGUAAUACCAGCAGCCCAAGUGGUGGUCGCGUUUAUUGGGCCUAAAGCGCUCGUAGCCUGACCGGUAAGUUCCCCGUGAAAUCGGGUCGCCCAACGAUUCGGCUUGCGGGGAAUACUGUCGGUCUUGGGGCCGGGAGACGCCGAGGGUACUCCGGGGGUAGCGGUGAAAUGCUGUAAUCCUCGGGGGACUACCAGUGGCGAAGGCGCUCGGCGAUAACGGGCCUGACGGUGAGGGGCGAAAGCUGGGGGCGCGAACGGGAUUAGAUACCCCCGUAGUCCCUGUCUCUUAUA
rnacentral:rRNA from 1 species